AAGUGUUACAACUCUUUUAGAAUUUGUCUAGCAGAUUUUCUAGUUUUUACCAGAAAGCCCCA
ensembl:snRNA U7 U7 small nuclear RNA